GGCAAGGGGGGCUCUCUCUCCCAACCCCUAUCAACAAACCCUAGCCGCCUCCUUUCACUCGCCACCUUUCACUCUCCUCUUCCAAACCUGUUCGGGAACUGCUUUCCAACACUUAGUAAGUUGUAUUAUAUACCUUCCGUUUGACACUCUCUCUGCCUUCUAAUUGGAUGGAGGGAGUAUCCCCAAGCACCUACACCAUGAUGUUGAAGUAAACUGGUGGAUUCGAUAGCCCAGCAGCUUAAUGCUCCUCCCUGCCUUCUAGUUGGCAAAACACCGAUGCUUGUUUUUGAAUGACGUAUGCCACCGUCCGUGAGAUGGAAAGCAGCUGUAAGCAGAUUAACUUACAAUAGUAAUUAUUUAUUAUAUAAUAAUACAAUCUCAAACACUGAUAUAUGUACGCCUGUAGGCCUCUACAUAUGGCUAUAUGCAUACCUAUCUUACAAGUAUGAGUACCUUUAAGGAUAGGUAAAUGCCCGGCGUGGCGGCACAUCUUCAAGAGUUUGCUAACUAAAUGAGGUUGCCAUCCUUGAAAAUUUGGCAAGACAAGAAACUUACUCUCCAAUAGAUUGGCAAAUCGACUUGGCAAUUUUGGGAACUUGGCAUCCUUUCCCUCCUUAAGCACAUAUAUGCGCACGCGUAUCCACUGCGCAUCAGAGUUUCCUGCACGCGCGAGUGAUGGCGCUCCUGGUACAUAAAAGCGACGAACAUUGGUUGUUUGCUCCUCCUCGUGAUGCUUAAUUUAAUCCAAGCCGCCUGCUGUUGUAGGUCCUUGUCUCCUGCCGAAAGGAUGUUGAGUGUCUACUCCUCUUUGGGAUUCGGAAAUAAUUCUCCUGCCGAAAGGACAUUGAGUGUCUGCUCCUCUUUGUGAUUCGGAAAUAAAACCCUGCUAGCUAGUGGUAUUGAAUGCUACUAGCUCAUGUCCAUCACAAUAAAAUAUAGCUCAUGGUCGUCAGAGGGAAGAUACCUGCAGCACAGGGAGCAGAUGACCGGUUGCGUCAAUCUCGCGUGAAGGAUAUGAGUCGUGAUGUACUGUUGACGGGUAACAAAAUAGGUCUCCUUUUUUUUUGUUAUGACAAAUUAAAAAUAGCAAACUCUUGGAGAUAUUUUCUUUUUUACUUGGGAAAUUGUUUUGAGAGUUGGCAAAAUACAAAAUUUGCCAAGUAAAAGAUAACAAACUCUUGGAGAUGCUUGAGAGAAUCUCGUGCGGACGCAUUUGUCAUGCACGCGAAUGCGCGUCUAUGAAGUGUCUUAUAUAUAUAAAAAGAAGUUAAAUGGUCAGUUUCUACAAAGCCAUAGGUUUGUUCUAUAUUGUUGGGGUGCAGAGGAUAGGAUAUAGUAUUCUUUGGACGACCCGUGCGUCGUGCGAGCAAAC
rnacentral:lncRNA from 1 species